UACGUAGGGUGCAAGCGUUGUUCGGAAUUAUUGGGCGUAAAGGGUGCGUAGGCGGUUUGGUAAGUCUGAUGUGAAAUCUAUGGGCUCAACUCAUAGUCUGCAUCGGAAACUGCCGGGCUUGAGUAUGGGAGAGGUGAGUGGAAUUCCUGGUGUAGCGGUGAAAUGCGUAGAUAUCAGGAGGAACACCGGUGGUGUAGACGGCUCACUGGACCAUAACUGACGCUGAGACACGAAAAGCGUGGGUAGCAAACAGG
rnacentral:rRNA from 1 species